GUCUGGGCGGCGCUAGGCGUCGCUAGGCGGGUCUAGGCGGCGCUAGGCGGGUCUAGGCAGCGCUAGGCGGAUCUGGGUGCCAGGGUGGGUCUGGUUCUGUUCUUUUGUUCUUUAAGCCCAGUAUCAAGCAUACGAGCAUAUCUAAAGGAGCCUAUUUCUCCCAGUUUUCAAGUGGCAUAGAGUACAUAAAAUUUGGACGCAUAAGUAUUUCCAAAGCACUCAAGAUUCUGGACUCAUCUGAAGCUUUCCAAAUGACCUGUAGCUUUUGCAUGAUGAACGUAUAUGUGUCUUCUCAUAGACUGCAAAUUUUCGUGGUUAUUGAAUAUGGAUUUUAAAUUUUGGCAAAUUUUUAAGUAACCUUUGUUCUGGAAAAGUUUUGUGCUGGCAGGUUUUAUAAAGUUAAGUU